ACUUUGUGAAUUUAGCCACAGAUUAUGGAAACUUUCUUAAACCUAGGCUCAAGCAACCCAACAGAUGUCAUAAAGCCUAAAUGGAAGCUGAGAAAAACCCAACCUAACCUAAAACCAUGAAAUUGUGUUUAUAACUAAAUGAAAAAAAGUUAUGAAAGUAUCCAACAAAACCUUCCCUUAAUUCCAAAUAUACAAAAAUAUUUCAAAAAUGUGAAAAUGACAUUUCAAAAAUUAAAUUGACACUUGAUGUGUCAAAUCUGUCAAAAAGAAGAAAAUGUAAUCAUAAAAUUGUGAUGAGUAAACAUUAAUGAUAAUUAAAAAGGAUAACUUAAUAAAUUUAAUAAAUUAUUAAUAUUAAAAAAAAAAUUCCCAAAAGAUUAUCUUAAAAGUGACUCCUCUUCGAGAUAAAGAAAUUUUUACGAAGAUUUAGAAAAAAGUGCAAACGGGAUGUUGGUAUUGUUAAACAACCACUGCCUCGCCCGCAAGCGACCUCGGCAGAGUGAGAAUAAACGGUUUCUCAAUGACAGCAAAAAA